rnacentral:tRNA from 1 species
GGAGAUUUAGCUCAGUGGCAUAAGCGCCUGCCUUGUAAGCAGGCAGUGGCGAGUUCGAUCCUCGGUACCGCUA